AACGCGAAGAACCUUACCUACCCUUGACAUCCUGGGAAUCUUGUAGAGAUAUGAGAGUGCCUUCGGGAGCCUAGAGACAGGUGCUGCAUGGCUGUCGUCAGCUCGUGUCGUGAGAUGUUGGGUUAAGUCCCGUAACGAGCGCAACCCCUAUUGCUAGUUGCCAUCAUUAAGUUGGGUACUCUAGUGAGACUGCUGGUGAUAAACCGGAGGAAGGUGGGGAUGACGUCAAGUCAUCAUGGCCUUUAUGGGUAGGGCUACACACGUGCUACAAUGGACGGUACAGAGGGUUGCGAAGCCGCGAGGUGAAGCUAAAUCUCACAAAGCCGUUCGUAGUCCGGAUUGGAGUCUGGAACUCGACUCCAUGAAGUUGGAAUCGCUAGUAAUCGCGGAUCAGAACGCCGCGGUGAAUACGUUCCCGGGCCUUGUACACACCGAUAGC
rnacentral:rRNA from 1 species